rnacentral:ncRNA from 1 species
GGUCAAGCUAAUAAGGGCGCAAGGGGAAUGCCUUGGCAUUGGAAGCCGAUGAAGGACGUAGCGAUCUACGAAAAGCCACGGGGAGGCGAAAGCAGCCCUCGAUCCGUGGAUAUCCGAAUGGGGAAACCCGGCAGAGCAAUACUCUGUCAACCUCUUGUGAAUAAAAUAGCAAGUCGUGGGGAACCGCCUGAACUGAAACAUCUAAGUAGGGCGAGGAAAAGACAUCAACCGAGAUUCCGUAAGUAGUGGCGAGCGAACGCGGAAGAGGCCAAACCAAGAGUAGUAAUACUUUUGGGGUUCGGACUGCAACAUGUACUGAUAAGGUUAGUAGAAUGAGAUGGGAAGCUCAACCAUAGAGUGUGAGAGUCACGUACACGAAAACCGAGUCAGGCUAGCAGGAUCCAGAGUACCGCCGGACACGUGAAACCCGGUGGGAAUACGGGGGGACCACCCUCCAAGCCUAAAUACUCUCCAAUGACCGAUAGUGAAUAGUACUGUGAAGGAAAGGUGAAAAGAACCCCUGGCGGGGAGUGAAAUAGAACCUGAAACCUUGUGCCUACAAGCACAUAGAGCACAUCAACGUGUGAUAUGGUACCUUUUGUAGAAUGGUCCGGCGAGUGAAUGUCACUAGCGAGGUUAAGGACUUAAGGUCUGAAGCCGAAGCGAAAGCGAGUCUUAAUAGGGCGAAAAUAGUUAGUGGUAUUCGACCCGAAACCGAGUGACCUAGCCAUGAGCAGGCUGAAGUGGAGGUAAAACUCCAUGGAGGGCCGAACCCACUCCCGUUGAAAUGGUAGGGGAUGACUUGUGGCUAGCGGAGAAAUUCCAAUCGAACUCGGAGAUAGCUGGUUCUCUCCGAAAUAGCUUUAGGGCUAGCCUCAAUAUACAUUACCGCAGGUAAAGCACUGAAUGGGCUAGGGGGCGAAAGCUUACUGAACCCUAUCAAACUAAGAAUGGCGGAUAAUGAAAUAUUGGGAGUCACACUACGUGAGAUAAGUUUCGUGGUGGAAAGGGAAACAGCCCAGACCCACAGCUAAGGUCCCAAAGUACGGUUAAGUGGAAAAGGAUGUGGAAUUGCACAGACAACCAGGAUGUUGGCUCAGAAGCAGCCAUUCAUUCAAAGAGUGCGUAAUAGCUCACUGGUCGAGUGACUCUGCGCCGAAGAUUUAACGGGGCUAAAUCGUACACCGAAGCUUGGGAAUAUA